CGCCUCUUGCUAAACAUAAGAGGUCCAGCCUGCCCAGUGACAUAGUUUAACGGCCGCGGUAUCCUAACCGUGCGAAGGUAGCAUAAUCACUUGUUCUCUAAAUAGGGACUAGUAUCAACGGCAUCACGAGGGUUACACUGUCUCCUUUCUCCAAUCAGUGAAACUGAUCUCCCCGUGAAGAAGCGGGGAUAAGAAUAUAAGACGAGAAGACCCCAUGGAGCUUCAAGCACCGUAUUCACCCGAUUUCUCUUACAACAACAUAGUUUUUAAGCCUGCGUACUAGCUUUUGGCUGGGGGGACCGCGGAGUACAAUCUAACCUCCGCAACAAAUGGGCUUCGCCCUUAUCUACGAACCACAACUCUAAGAACCAAUAAACUGAUGUACUUUGACCCGACCUAUCGAUCAACGAACCAAGUUACCCUGGGGAUAACAGCGCUAUCUACUUCAAGAGCUCAUAUCGACAAGUAGGUUUACGACCUCGAUGUUGGAUCAGGGUAUCCCAGUGGUGCAGCCGCUACUAAUGGUUCGUUUGUUCAACGAUUAAAACCCU
rnacentral:rRNA from 1 species